AUUGAACGCUGGCGGCAUGCCUUACACAUGCAAGUCGAACGGUAACAGGUCUUCGGAUGCUGACGAGUGGCGAACGGGUGAGUAAUGCAUCGGAACGUGCCCAGUAGUGGGGGAUAGCCCGGCGAAAGCCGGAUUACUACCGCAUACGACCUGAGGGUGAAAGGGGGGAAUCGCAAGACCUCUCGCUAUUGGAGCGGCCGAUGUCAGAUUAGCUAGUUGGUGGGGUAAAGGCCUACCAAGGCAACGAUCUGUAGUUGGUCUGAGAGGACGACCAGCCACACUGGGACUGAGACAGGGCCCAGACUCCUACGGGAGGCAGCAGUGGGGAAUUUUGGACAAUGGGCGCAAGCCUGAUCCAGCAAUGCCGCGUGCAGGAAGAAGGCCUUCGGGUUGUAAACUGCUUUUGUCAGGGAAGAAUCUUCUGGGUUAAUACCUCGGGAGGAUGACGGUACCUGAAGAAUAAGCACCGGCUAACUACGUGCCAGCCGCCGCAGUAA
rnacentral:rRNA from 1 species